UUCGCAAUGCCCGAAAGGGUGACGAAGCGACGCCGCGUGUGGGAAGAAGGCCUUCGGGUUGUAAACCACUGUCGGGAGUUAGGAAAUGUAAGGGUGCUAAUAGUAUCCUUACUUGACUAAGGCUCCGGAGGAAGCCACGGCUAACUCUGUGCCAGCGGCCGCGGUAAUACAGAGGCGGCAAGCGUUGUUCGGAAUUAUUGGGCGUAAAGAGCACGUAGGCGGCCCUGAAAGUCAGUUGUGAAAGCCUUCUGCUUAACGGAAGAACAGCAGCUGAUACUACAGAGCUUGAGUACGGGAGGGGAGAGUGGAACUUCUGGUGGAGCGGUGAAAUGCGUAGAUAUCAGAAGGAACGCCGGCGGCGAAAGCGAUUCUCUGGUCCGAAACUGACGCUGAGUGUGCGAAAGCUAGGGGAUCAAACGGGAUUAGAUACCCCGGUAGUCCUAGCCGUAAACGAUGGGCACUAAGUAGAGGGGUUUU
rnacentral:rRNA from 1 species